rfam:Danio rerio chromosome 4, GRCz11 reference primary assembly.
UGUGUCAUGGUAUAAUGGUUAGCACUCUGGAUUUAGAAUGCAGUGAUCCGAGCUCAAAUCUUGGUGGAACUG